UAGCGUAGGGGGCGAGCGUUGUCCGGAGUUACUGGGCGUAAAGGGCGUGCAGGCGGUGCGGUAAGUUUAGCGUGACAGUCUCCGGCUUAACUGGAGAAGGCCGCUGAAAACUGCUGGACUUGAGGGCCAGAGAGGGACAUAGAAUUCCGGGUGGAGUGGUGAAAUGCGUAGAUAUCCGGAGGAAUACCAAAGGCGAAGGCAGUGUCCUGGCUGGCAACUGACGCUGAGGCGCGAAAGCAUGGGUAGCGAACAGG
rnacentral:rRNA from 1 species